GCCAAACCGUGUGCACUCCAUACUUGGAGACUAGACAUCACAAGGGUACUAAGAUUGCAGGCAUAUGAACCAUAGCAGGAGGGGUCUACAUAGGACAUAAUGCCAUUAUGGCACUCACAGCCACCGAGCAGCCUACAAGGCGAUGACAGUCAUGACUGCUGCCCAGCAAUUCAGUCAUGUGUUUCUGAAGGCCUUGGGCUGCCCCUGUAGCUCCCCAGUCACUGCCCUUCAGGAAGGAAGGGACCCAGAGAGCUCCAGAAGAAAACUUCCUGAGCCGCUGAAGAGGGACGUCUGACAGCCUCGUUCCGGGUUCAGGGGAGACCCUGUGUCAAGGGAGUAAGACAUGGACAUGUGCAGCACACACACAUGCACACUGAACACACACACAUGCACACUGCACACAUACACAUGUACACUGCAUACAUACACAUGCACAGACCUUGAGAAUGGAGGUUAAUUAGGUCAUCGCAUUAGUCGACAUUCACCACACCCUCUGCCCACACUAACUGCUGACACAGGAGCCAUUCUGGAGACACGGACAAAGUGCUGACCCCCAAAGGUAUGAGAAGUGGCGAGUCCCGAGGGUACCUGGGGAAAAGAGGAUGCGAGUCCACCCUCCCUCUGGUCUUAGCCUUUGGAGUCAGGCCAGGAGAGGAGGAGCUGCAGAUCCGAAGCCCAGCCCCAGCACCCACAGAGGAUUGCCGCCGCCACUGGACCCUCAGUAUUUAAAUCACCCAUUGACUUAAACAAUCAUACCCUGCCUCUGCUUUGAGAAUAAAGGCCCCACCACCAUGG
rnacentral:lncRNA from 1 species